rnacentral:rRNA from 1 species
UACAGAGGGGGCAAGCGUUUGUUCGGAAUUACUGGGCGUAAAGGGCGCGUAGGCGGCCUGCUAAGUCGAACGUGAAAUCCCUGGGCUCAACCCAGGAACUGCGUCCGAUAUGUUGGUCGUUGAAUUCGGGAGAGGGAUGUGGAAUUCCGAGUGUAGAGGUGAAAUUCGUAGAUAUUCGGAAGAACACCAGUGGCGAAGGCGGCUCACUGGACCGGUAUUGACGCUGAGGUGCGAAAGCGUGGGGAGCAAACAGG